UCAGAAGGAACCAACCCUCCCAGCACCUUGAUUCCAGACUUCAAGCCUCCAGAAGCGGGAGAGAAUAAACUUACGAUUUGCAGAUGUUUCGUCGGUGUUGGCCUUAACUUCUCAACCAAAGUGAAAGCUUUUGGAGGGCAAGAACCUACCAUAUGACCUGAGUAUCCUUCACCGGUAACAUCACAACAAACCAACAAACACAGCAAACGUUGAGCACCUCUUCUAUGACAGAAUGCUUAGGAAACACCUGCUCAUUCAUCUUUCUAACCACUGGAUAAGCCUACUGAGAUGCAUCAAGUUCUUGCCCAUCUAUGUCCAAUCUGGGACAUAACAGAUCCUUCUCAUCCUGAGUUAAAGAAAAGGUUAAAUGAUGCCAGAGCCCAAGAAAGUAUCUGCCUAUCAGGCUUCAGCAGUGGUUUUCGAACUUUUAAGUAUAAAGAUCAUCUGGAACAUUUUCGAGAAGAGAAGAUUCCCCAGCUGUACUGACACAGUUUCUGAAUGACGGGGUCUGGGGGGAGACCUGAAAUGUGCAUUUUAAUGAGUAGUCUAGGUAAUUUUGAAGUAGACAGUUCAUCACCCUGAGAAAGAUUGGACUGUGGGACGUUUUCCAGAGAUAAUCUGCAGUGUGUGGGCAAAGGUGGAGAAGGGGCCACCACUCCCCAAAAGUCUACCCAGGUGGCCUAUGGCUGAGAAUUUCCUCAGUCUUUUCCUUGGUUAUAGUCCAAUUGUGGUUACCAAAUCUCUGAGACUUUCAGCCAAAAGACCAUUUGGCCUGGAAGGAUCAUUUUUAUCUACAGUGAUCUCCCUCCCAAAGGCCUCUCCAUCUGGCCUGUCCUCACUGGAGGGAGCAAAUCAACAGACCAGUGCUCUCAUAUAACCAGCUGCAGUGUGGGGCUUACAGGCUGCUUUAACUCCUGUUAUGAAUCAGAAUGCAAUUAUGAAUAAUUUGUAUGAGGCUUGUCA